UCAAACCUCUGCAACAAGAUAUCAAAUCUUGAAAAAGGUUGCCUAUAUCCAACUUGCCAUACAAGGCUAAUAUAUCUAUAAAUAGAAACAAAAUUCUUUUCUUUCUUCCUCUCGAUCACCUUCACAAUACUCCUACAAAGUUACCUUGAAACUUAUUCACAAACAAAAUCAGCCUUGUACAACAUCAAAUUAACUUACUAGUGAAGAUAGAGUAAGAUACCCAAAAUCCAUCACAAACUUGGAAGAUAUUUUAGGCAGUUAAGCCUUCCACAAGUAAAACCUCCCCAUGUUAAAACCCCCUCCACUUGCACAACAACUUGCAAGAGAAGAGUCAGUACUUUAUAUAAACCCCAAAUAUUUCCAUUUUAAGCAACACAUCGCUGUCAAACACAUUCUCUUCAUACCACAUCACUCACAUAGGAUAGAGUAGUACGAGGAAGAAGAGUUGAAGAGGAAGAAGAGUUGAAGAUAAUUGUAGGAUGAAGCCUACAAUCAACAACACGUUUUCCACCUAUCAUCAAGGUUAAGCGGUGGCGACGAGGGGCGAUGUUGAGCAAGGAUGGCGAAUGUGUUUCCGUUUGAUAAAUGCUUGGAUGCAUCGUGUCUAAAUACACGGUGUCAUUCUCUCUUGACUCUUCCGCUGCAAUGUAAAUAACGAGCUUAUGUUCCUUUGUGUCAUGCACUCUGAUAUAUUUUGCCAGUUAUUCCAAUUUAAUUUCAUUCA